rnacentral:rRNA from 1 species
CAGCCGCCACGGUAAUACGGGGGGGGCAAGUGUUAUUCGGAAUGACUGGGCGUAAAGGGCACGUAGGCGGUGAAAAGGGUGGAAAGUGAAAGUCUCCAAAACACUGGCGGGGUGCUUUCUUGACCAUUUCACUUGAGUGAGAUAGGGGAGAGUGGAAUUUCGUGUGGAGGGAUCAAAUCCUAAGAUAUACGAAGGAACGCCAACCGCGAAGGCAGCUCUCUGGGUCCCCACUGACGCUGGGGUGCGAAAGCAUGGGGAGCAAACAGGAUCAGAUACCCCAGUAGUCCCUGUCUCUUAUACA